rnacentral:rRNA from 1 species
CAGUAGCCACGGUAACACGUAGGGUGCAAGCGUUAAUCGGAAUUACUGGGCGUAAAGCGUGCGCAGGCGGUUUGUUAAGACAGAUGUGAAAUCCCCGGGCUUAACCUGGGAACUGCAUUUGUGACUGGCAAGCUAGAGUAUGGCAGAGGGGGGUGGAAUUCCGCGUGUAGCAGUGAAAUGCGUAGAUAUGCGGAGGAACACCGAUGGCGAAGGCAGCCCCCUGGGCCAAUACUGACGCUCAUGCACGAAAGCGUGGGGAGCAAACAGGAUUAGAUACCCCAGUAGUCCCUGUCUCUUAUAC